rnacentral:lncRNA from 1 species
CACAUUCGGAUUGCUCCUGCUGCCCCACACACACUAACCCAACCAUCUUGGGGUGGACUCCCUGCCAGCCCAACUGUUGUAUUUUCAGUUCUUCCAGUGUGAAUCAGUUAAUAUUCUCGGGAACGAGGGAGAGGUUGAUCCUAUGAGGAAAUCAACCACAGUGAAAAGGCUUGGGCCGCUUUUGUUUUCACCUGCUUUUGUUGAACAAAUUUGAUUUCCGGAGUCAGUCAUUUUACUGUCAAGACAUUUCUUCGGCAUUCUGCAACAGAUAUUCACUCAGGAAAUUUGGCUUUAGCUCAGUCAGUUUAUUGGAAAGUUUAUUUAAAUAACCAAAAGGGCUGAGUGUGGUGACUCAUGCCUGUAAUUCCAACACUUUGGGAGGCUGAGGCGAGAAGAUCACUUGAGCCCAGGAGUUCGGGACCAGCCUCAGCAACAUAGUGAGACCUUGUCUCUACACAAACUAAACAAAAUUAGCUGAUCUUGGUGUUUCCAACAUGGCUAGAUCCAUCAGAAACUGAAGCCGUGGAGAACGCUCUCGGGGCCUUUGCCACUUCUUGGAGUAGAAGCCGACAGA